CUACUUUCAGUUUCUAGUCAAAGAAAGGUCCAGGCGCAGGCGCAAAGAAUAUUGCGAGGUGCAGUCUAAUGGAUAGGACUGAGGGCUCGACUGAAAGGAGAGAAGGCGCAAUGAAAUAUGCGAGGUCCAUAUUCCGACUGAGGAACUGAAACUUCCGCGUAGUGCUUCCCUUGUUCAUUGAUAGUAAUCCUGAAGUUUCUUCUUGGCAUCAAAAUAGAUCAAUGAAAGAGGACUAAAAAUAAGACGAAAGUACUUAUGACGGCUUUCCUUCCCAACAAAUCUUCGUUCUUAGUUAUUUGAUUCCACUUUCAAACUUUCUGGGAGUUGUCUUCUCCUAGGCUUUCUUCUUUCUGGCAGUCUUCUGCCUUGCCGUAGGGAGUAGGUUCAGGAGAACCAUAACCAUAAAUCAGAGAGACGGAGGCAUCAAUCACGCAAUAUUCUUUGCACCUCUUCCUUUAAGCUAUAUUUUUUAGGCUCCGGAGGCUCAAAGACAGGGAUAUUGUUGAAUACUAUUAGUUCGAGUCGCAGAGAGCAAAGAAUUUUCUCUUAAUGGAACUUAGCGCGGGUUAAUAUGGAUAGGACUGAGGUCUUAAGACUCCUAACUAUUAAUGGAAAGGACCCACGGAGCGGUGCAAAGAAUAUAUAGAAGGGCAGACAGGUCCGGAGGACCUGUCUGUCCUUCGGUCUUAAUACUCCUAACGUCGAAUAAGAAGCUGGAGGCUGGGUCCAGGUGCAAAGAAUAUUGUGUCCAUUAGAUCCAUUGAAUUAGGCGAAGGAUUUUAUCAAGCUUAGCUUUCUGGAUUCUUCGGCGGAGUGGGGCUUUCUCUAGUAGGUCUGGAGGCUCAAAGAAUGAUCAAAGGCUCCGAACCAUAAAGAAGAGAGUCGGAGGACAUCCAUUGACUUUUUCUUCCUUUCACUUCUAACUUCAAACCUUUCAUAUUCAACCUUGAAAAUAAAGGAGGGAGCGGACUACGGAGGCCAUAAGUUUGAGUUCCUCAGAUGUAUAAAAACAAGUCCUCCGGACGACCUAUCCACUGAAAGUAGCUACGUAGUCUUGUCUCCUUCCCCGCGUAGUGGGCAUUGACUUCUUCAUUGAUUUUCUUCUAUCUCCCACGUAGCGGUUGAAUAUGAAAGGAAGCCCACAGAGCUGAAGAUGGAGCGGGAUAAUAAAGAAGAAAGCUCAAAAGGAGGGAGCGGACCUCAAUGAACAAGGGGAGGACUCGUUUUCAUCCUUAUGGAAGAAAAAUCUCUUUUUUUUAUCUAAAAGACGUAGAAGGAGGCUCAAUGUCUAAUCUUUCUCUCAAAUCAAUAUCCCCAGUGCAAAUAUUCCAGCAAUAUUCUCAAUAUGAAAAGAGCCUUUCUUCUUUUCUUAGAUAAAUGCGCUUCGUAGAUUAUGCUGAAGGAGGAGUGGGCCAUGAUCUUUGCUCCUUAAUUUCCCUAAUGGAUAGUCAUCUGGACCUUUCUUUUUAGUUCUUUGCGCUCGUCAACGCAUAUUUCAUUGCGCCUUCGCCUUCAAUGAAAUCCAUAAAUAAAUAAGGGUAGAUUUCAGACUCAAGAGGAGGGUUCCUUAUCAAUAUCAAUGAGACGGAUAGGCUUUCUUUUACAUUCCACAGGUCCGAAGGACUAUCCAUAUUAACAUGUCUGUCCUUCGCCUAACUAGUUCAUAUAGACCUUUGUUUUUCUUCCGCAGUCACUAAUAUGGAUAGUCCGGAGGACCUCCUUCAGCAUAAUCUAUGAAUGAUCGGAGCAAAGAAUAUUGCGGAAAAGAAGAAAGGAGUGCAAGCGAAAAAUAAUGGAUUGAAUAGUCCUUCGGACGAACUACCGCACUUGGGGGAUAUUGUUGAGAAAGAAUAUUGAAAAAGAAUGAUCGAAGAAUAUUGAAAAAGGACGGAGGAUAGGCUUUCUUUGAACAAUGUGGAUGUAUCAAAGAUUCCACAGGUUAAUAUGGUAGAUUUCAGACUAGUCCUUCACCUUGGAUCUGGGGACUAUUCUCUGUUCUAAUAGACAUAGAGGAGAGGUUCAAAGAAUAUUGAGAAUACUCGUGCAAGCGCAAUCAAUGAACAAGGUGAAAAGAAUAAAAAAAAGGCGGUCGAUGAUCAGGAAGAAAAAGUCAAAAGUCUAUCCCAUCUUCUUCGUUAGGCGCAAAGAAGAAAAACAAGGUGCAAAGAUCUAUGGCCCAAUUAUAAGGGGUCCAGAUGCACCAUAAGACUGGUCCGAAGGACUAUCCAUAUUAACCGGAGUCUUCAACAAGAUUUCCAACCCUGAAUAUUAAGCUACUGAGGCCCAAUAUUGCGAAGGAAGAACUGCGCCAUAAGACAGGUCCGAAGGACUAUCCAUUAGGGAAUGAGACGGAGGUAACGUUUGGUUUUUUGGAAAACUUGUUGGUCGCGGAUUAGUGCGUUUUUUUUGGAAAGUAACAAUUCUCUUCAGUUUGGUUUCAGAAAACUUGUUGGUCACGGAUUAGUGCGUUCUGCGCCGCCUGGUGUCACGAACAUAUUUUUCCAAAGUGUGUUUACCUUUGGUUAUAUGCUCCGAUUACCCCCAGUUUAUCUCAUCUUUAGUUUGCAUAACUAGUUUAGCUGAUUGCUUUUCAUUCUAGGUCAUAAAGCUUGGGUGUGACGUUUCGGCAUUUUCAUAUGCAAGCCUGCCAGAGAGGAAAAUGUUCAAAAUGUACUAUAGGGGAGGCAUACCAGUUGAAUCCCCGCCCAAGCAUUAGUUGUACUCUUUGCAAGCAACCCUUUUUCCUUGCAAUUGACAGUCUUUAAUGCUUAUUGUAACGUCUAUUUCAAUGUAUUUCUUUCUUUCCCGUGUUUUAUAAAUAAAAUGUCCCUAAAACGCAAACGAAGGUUACGACAUACAUCGACGUUACCCACAACUCUUGGAUAUUGAUCGACUGACUUGUUCAUCGAGUUAGAACAAGUGCCGCACAAUCGUCCGUCUCGAGGUUGAAACGCUACGAUUGUGACAAGUGGUAUCAGAGCCAAAGUUGGCUGAGUGACAGUUUUGACAAAAAUAAAAUGUCGACUGCAAAACGAGCGAGCAAGACCCAUGAAGAACGGUUGGUGGGGAUCGAAGUGCAGAUGCUCCACCUGAUGGAAGUUCCUGAUUCCAUCCGGUUCUUGGAAUAGCGGCUUGAGGAUAUUGCCAAGAAAGCUGAUGGCAUUGAAGCCGUGUCCGGUCGCCUUGACGGACUACCCAUCCAAGAGUUACUGACUAGAGUCGACACUCUAGAGUCCCGAGUUAUGAGAACGGGAAAUGUCACCUACGAGCGUGGGGACAGUUCAUCGGGCUCUGUUGCCCAGAUGGAAGAACGAGUUAUGGAGCUUGAUAACUCGCAAAAGAACAUGUUGGAGAUGAUCAGCGCAUGACAAAGGAUUUUCGAGCAACCCUCGAUGUCGUGAGGAAUGAGCUCGCAGAGGUAAGCACGAGGGUGAACCUUACUAUGCGAGCACUAGAAAAUCAGGCUCUAGCUGGAGGAGCCAUUCCUGUGGGCAGAAUCAAGAUUCCUGAGCCCAAGCCCUUCUGUGGGGCGAGAGAUGCCAAGGCGUUGGAAAACUUCAUCUUUGAUGUCGAGCAGUAUUUCAAAGCCACGAACACAAUUACUGAAGAGGCCAAGGUGACGUUGGCAACCAUGCAUCUGUCAGAAGAUGCGAAGUUAUGGUGGAGGUCCCGAUACAUGGACAUUCAAGAAGGGCAUUGCACAAUCGACACGUGGGAUGCCCUAAAAGGAGAACUCCGUUCGCAAUUUUCCCUGAGAAUGUCGAAAUUCUGGUCCGACGGAAGCUGCGUGAAUUGAAGCACACGGGGAACAUUCGGGACUACGUGAAACAGAUUGCGGGGGUAAUGUUGGAUAUACGCGACAUGAUCGAAAAAGAUAAAAUAUUCAGCUUUGUUGAAGGGUUGAAGCCAUGGGCAAGGACUAAGCUAUACGAGCAGAAAGUCCAAGACCUCGUGUCAGCCUAUGCAACAGCUGAACGUUUGUUUGAUCUGUCUAAUGACGUUCAAGAGACAAGACAUCAUUGAAGCUCUUCACCUGGAAGAGACAGAAACAGCCGACUGAAUUCUCCCGAAGCUGUCAGUAGAAAUAAAAGUCCCGGCAGAGACCGCAAGCCCUUCCAGUCAAAUACGGGGAACACCAGGCAAAGGCCCACUAGUCAAAGGACCUCCCACACUCCUAUCAGUUGCUACAUUUGUAACAGGCCACAUCGGACAAGGGAAUGUCCGGAUAAAGCGGCCUUCUACGCCUUCCAGGCCUCUCUGGCUACAGACUUAGGUGACAAGUUGGGUCAACCAGAGAAUGAAGGUGGGUAGGUGGAGGAAGUCCAAAACGUUAGAGUAGGGGCCAUAAGACUCUUGUCGUUCCUUCAGAAUAAAGCAGGGGAGACAAGUGGUCGUACAAAAGGGGGCCUAAUAUAUGUGGACACCUGGAUCAACCGAAGGCAUGCAAAGAGCACUAUGGUUGACUUCAGUGCAACCCAUAAUUUUAUAACGGUGGCGGAAGCCAGACGAUUGAACCUUCACUAGAAGAAGGAUACAGGAAAGAUGAAGGCCGUAAAUUCUACAGCUUUACCCGUCGUCGGAGUAGUGAAACGAGCGGUGAUACAGUUGGAAAGAUGGAACGGCCUUGUUGACUUUGUGGUUGUGGGCAUGGAUGACUUUGAUGUAGUUCUCGGAAUGGAAUUCCUUCUUGAACAUCAAGUGAUCAUGAUGCCUGCAGCCAAAUGUCGGUGAUCACGGGAUCUACCCCCACCGUUAUGCAGAUACCCCCACCAUUAUGCAGAUAGAACUCCGGCAACCCAAAGGAUUGAGAAUGGUCUCGGCCAUGCAACUGAGGGAGGGCCAUAUUCAGGAAGACACAAGGCGUGUCGUGGAGAGACGUUGUGAUGGGAAACAGGAUAGUUUGCCCAUGUCAGAAUCGCCUACGAGAAAUGAUCAUCGUAUGGCGCAAUCAAAAUCAUCUGGACUCAGGAGACAGUCAAGGAGACUGUCAGGUGCAGGAUCCACUAGACCUGCGAGAGAUCCGUAUCAAGCACAAGACUUCUUACGGAAGGAAGAGAAUGGACAAUUGUGUGUCAACAACCGUGUCCUAAAGCAAGCCCCGAGGAGAGGGCCAACUUUUGAGUCCGUGAGUGGGACUCAGCCUGUUGAAGCUUACGCUAAGGCAUAUGGUCCUGUGUCAGGUGGCAUCCUAAUGCAGAAUGGACACCCUGUCAAAGCUGAGAGUCAGAAACAAAGUGCCGCAGAAGGUAGUUAUACGAUGUUUGGAAAAGGAAUGCUGACCACGAUACGUAGUCUGAAGGAUGGAAGACAACAUUCCCAGGGGUCUACACAUGGAAGAGAGACGAACAACAUUGCGACCAACCGCUUUGAUACUCGGCCGAAGUGGGCUUUGAGUCAAGAAAAGUGGCAGAGGGACGUGUCAAGGGAAUCCUUGCAGAAAAACUCUGUCAUUGAAGUUGAUGUAAGUCUGGCGGAGACCAGUCAGGUGGAAGAAAAGAAUGGAGUUCAAUUGUGGAAGCUAACCCAAUCUUAUGUUAAUGCUGCAAUGAGUUCGUCAAUGGAUGGAAACCAGUUUGUGGGUGUUUGUGGCGGACAUUCUGUACAGUCCCGCCUUGUUGGUCCCUCCUAUGUUGGUAAGAAUCCUCAAGCUUGCAACAGUACCAAGAGGUGGAAGCUGGAGUCAGACAUCGUUCGGACCGAUCGAGAGGAAGCCUCGAAGUGGCCAGAAAAGUGGGCAGAUAAGAAGCAUCGCCUCCGUGAUUCCCGUGGGGAGACCAGGUCAUCGUCAAACGGCGAUCUGAACUGACUCCGUUUUUGAAGAAGACUUCAAGAUCACCGCCUCAUGAGAGAACGCGAGGGACAAACAGAAGUUCAAGAAGUCCUUGCUAAAGAAGCAAGGAAAGAAGAAGAAGACCCAUGGGGGAUACACAAGUUCGUGGUGAAGCAGAGGAGCCUCCUCAUGGAAGAAGCCUGUGGAAGACGUACCAAGACUGUGAAGCGUGGAGGUAGAAGAUCGAAGGAUUCCAGCUUUGCCAGUCGACGGGGACGUCAACUGUUUAAGUGGGGAGUGUGUCACGGACAUAUUUUUCCAAAGUGUGUUUACCUUUGGUUAUAUGCUCCGAUUACCCCUAGUUUAUCUCAUCUUUAGUUUGCAUAACUAGUUUAGCUGUUUGCUUUUCAUUCUAGGUCAUAAAGCCUUGGUGUGCGUUUCGACAUUUUCAUAUGCAAGCCUGCCAUAGAGGAAAAUGUUCAAAAUGUACUAUAGGGGAGGCAUACCAGUUGAAUCCCCGCCCAAGCAUUAGUUAUACUCUUUGCAAGCAACCCUUUUUCCUUGCAAUUGACAGUCUUUAAUGCUUAUUUUAACGUCUAUUUCAAUGUAUUUCUUUCUUUCCCGCGUUUUAUAAACAAAAUUUCCCUAAAACGCAAACGAAGGUUACGACAUACAUCGACGUUACCCACAACUCUUGGAUAUUGAUCGGCUUACUUGUUCAUCGGUUAGAACAAGUGUCGCACAAUCGUCCGUCUCGAGGUUGAAACGCUACGAUUGUGACACCGACGGCCACAUAGAAUUGAGAAAAGCCUAUGGUUGAGGCAGCAUUAAUUUAUGAAACUUUACACGUGGGAAGGGAUGACUCUUUCUAUUCAAACCUGUAAACAUAGAAGACCGCCUCAAUGAACAAGGGAUCAUUCACAUAGAAUAAAUAUGAACAACGAGAAAGGGAAUAUAAGGUUUGAAUUCAGAGGAAAGCCUAGCUUGAAUGAACAAGGUGAAAAGAAUAUUGACAGCUGCACUUACGAGUCUUUCAGUUACCUUUCUGCCUCUUUAAAGAGAGUUCAAGGUUUUCUAUUAUCGGAAGAAUCAGAAUAAGAAGAAAAUAGAGGAAGACAGAGAGAAGAGAGCUCAGGAGGCGCAAUGAAAUAUGCGUGAGAAGCGCAUUUCCUUAGUGGAAUACUUUGAUAGCGGAAUAAGAAGUCGGAGGCUCGGUCAAGACGAUCUUUUGAUCUAUUCUAAUGGUCUCUAAUGGAUAGUCCUUCGUUUUAGAGUCCUACAGAUAAAUCCUCCGGACUGGUCCGAAGGCUAGGUUCAUACGGAUAGUCAGGAGGACGGUUAGUUGGAGCCUUGUUUUUCGAAAUCUUCUUUGAGCCUCAGUCGUCUCAUUGAUAAGGACAUCUUUGCAAAUGAAGAGCGGGAGGUGCAAAGUGCGGCUAUUACUUUGAAAAGAAUAGGAGCUCCGCGGUUUGAAUUGAAUAAAAAGGAUAGGCUGAAAUUCAAAGUGAAUAAGAGGAUAUUUUCAGAUAUAAUAUCUAAAGUCAAUGAACAGGGGCUCCUAACCUCUGAUUUAUGGGGAGCCUACUACGUCCAUUAGUUCCGAACUUGGCUCCACUCCUAGUAGUUCGAACUUGGCUUUGCUCCUUCGCUUUUUCUCUUAUUGAUCUCUCUUGUAAUGCUUUCUACUAAGAAUCAAGAAAGCGCAACUUCUAUUUUGUCCGAACGACCUUGAUUAAAAAACGAUGCUUCCUUGGUCGUGUAGAACAUGGAUUAGCAUUAUUUCAUUCCUACAAGCGAUCCCCCAUCCAGGAUUGGAAGAAGUGCUAUAUGAGGACUUUGAGAUCAAAUAGAAUAUAUUUCUUUCAAGACCUCGUGAGCCACUUAUUUCUCUGAAACAAGAGAGAAAAGUGAUUUUCCUCCUUUUUCUCAAUAAGUCGACGACCUUACACCAUUGGGAUACUUCUUCUUUGAAACUAGAGUACAUAUAGGAUACACCGGUGCUAAAACCUUUUCUCAAAAGAUCUUCCAAACUGUUGGGGUCCUUGCUCCGUAUGUUCUUCCCCCGGUGUGAAAGCAGUUGGUUCCAUAGUUUGAGAAUUCUACUACUGAUCCCAAGUACUCCAUCUCCAUCAUUGCAUAUGGGAAUAUAGAAAAGUCAAGAAGAAAAGGCAUGAGCAGAAGAAUUGUGUGAAAUAAGUCAAUUUAUCCAAUUGAGGCAUUCUUUCUUUUUCUUAAGAAAAUUCCCUCUAGACAUAAAUCCUUUCUGUACGAGUAGUGAAGAACUAUAGAGAGUAGUGGUUGGUUGUUGACCAACAAAAAGCAUGGGAGAAAGAAAGAUGUUGGCAAGGAAGCAUCAAAAUAGAUCAAUGAAAGAGGCUCAAAGAAUGAUCGAGGACUAUUUUAGUCCGACUAGAAACUAGGGAAACUAAAGACUAACGAAAUCUAGAUGAGAAUCCGUACAAUUAGUCUCGAGAAAAAGAAGAAAGCAAUAAAAAAAGUGAAGACAGAAAAUGAACCGAAAAUCUUCUUCUCUCAUAUUGAAUUCAUCCUUCUACGCAUCUCCAUGGGCUCGACUGAGAGUGGAGGAGAGGACGGGAAGAAUGAGAAAAAUAGUAAGGCGAGAAGACAGGUUCGAAGGACUAUCCAUCAGGGAGUUUGGACCCCGUAGUUAGGAGCAAAGAAUAUUGCGAAAGAGUCAUAAUAGGUACAAAUCUUCUUAUAGAUUAUGUUGAAGGAGGCGGCGCAAUUCAAUAUGCGAAAGUCAUGAUCCCUUUAAAGCAGACGUUAGGCGCAAAGAAAGAAGCUCAUUAACGAGAAUGAAAGAAUAAUUCACUCAUUAACGAGAAUGAAAGAAUAAUUCUGAUUUCAUCACCUUGUUUUUACGGAGUUCAAUACUAGAUUGAAGACGGAGGGAAAUCCCAGAUUUUGCUAGGUUUUGGGCCUAUAAAGUAGCAAGAAAUCAUGAAAAAUCAGUCAAAAUUAGACAAUUAUCGUAGCAUAUCAAUAUGAGAAAAAGUAUGAAAAAGAAGCAAAAAAGUCGGGAAAUAGCAAUUCAAGAAGAAAGCCUAGGACAGGGAAAAGAAAUGAACACUUCUAGUUUGAGUUUAUGGUCCGGAUACUGACAGGUCUAUUCUUUAUUCCGCUCCUGAAUAUGGAUAAUCCUACUUCGGUUAAUUACGGAUAGUCCUCCUUCGGUUAAUUACGGAUGGUCCUACGGAUAAAUCCUCCAGACUACUUCCUUCCAUAUGGAUGGUCCUACUUCGGUUAAUUACGGAUGGUCCUACUUCCAUAUGGAUAGUCCUACGGAUAAGAAUCCUGCGGACUCCGGACUACUUUGGUUAAUUACGGAUGGUCCUACGGAUAAAUCCUCCGGACUCCGGAUAAAUCCUGCGGACUCCGGACGUACGACGUAGGAUAAAUCACCUGGACCUUUCUUUGGCACUACGGACUACUUCGGUUAAUUACGGAUGGUCCUACGAAUAAAUCCUCCAGACUCCGGGUCGUAAGACGUAGGAGAAAUUCCUGCGGACUCCUUCCUUCCAUAUGGAUGGUCCUACGGAUAAAUCCUCCAGACUACUUCAAUUAAUUACGGAUGGUCCUACUUCCAUAUGGAUAGUCCUACUUCAAAUGGAUAGUCCUCCGGAUAAAUCCUGCGGACGUAGGACCCUGGACCUUUCUUUCUUUAAUGGAUAGUCCUCCGGAUAAAUCCUGCGGACGUAGGACCCUGGACCUUUCUUUGGCACUCCGGACGGAUAAAGAAAGGAUAAAUAAAGGCGCAAAGAAUAUUGCGAAGCGAAGCGCAUUUAUCUAAGAAAAGAAGAAAGGAUAAAUAAAGGCGCAAAGAAUAUUGCGAGAGCGGGAAUUACCUUUUCUCUUCGGGUUAGCUAAGAGUUGCCGGAGGCUUGAAGUCGGAUAAUUACUUUUACUUAAAGGUUUCACAAACCUGCAAAAUCUUCUCCAAAUUAGCGUUAGCGUUCUGAGCUAGCCAAGCAGUAUAUUUAAAAUAUAGAAAGAAGAAAAAUCCAUGCAAUCUAAGUACACUAAGAACCUACAGCAUCGUCACCGCUGCGUGGGAAGGUUAAUUCUUCUAACUCUGGUAUUAUCGUUGAACAAGCAGUUCACAUCCGACUGCCCGCGUAGUGGGGGAAGCUCGCUCGCUAACUUUGCACUUCGGCCAAAAUGCCGAAAAAAGGCUAAGGCCGAAGGAGGUCUGACUCCUUCGCUCAAGGAAGAAUUGCCCGAUUGGAUAUAUAUCUUGGUGCGGAGAGAGGAAAGGAUCACGGAAGCCUCAGUCUCAGUACGAAAGGGGCAAAAAGCUGGAAAAAGCAUACUGGCUUCACCUUGCCCUAGGAUGGGGUCCGCCGGAUCUUUUAAGGCAUAGGCUUAAUGCUGAGACGCACGGGGAUAUCCGGUCCAGGAUGGAUAUUCAAGACAAGGACGAAGGCUCUCCGUCACGCAAGAUGAUUACAAGUCUUAGGAGUGAACUUCCGCUUUACCCCUUCCGGUAUCAGGAAGCGAAGGGCAGAGAAAGCGAGCGAGAAAACAUAAAUCAAGGCGGUCGAUGACUUAAAAUAGGCAAAAAGAAAAGACAGAAAGCCUACGGGUUUCUCGGUUUACCCUUCUUUUAGGAUAGAAAAAGGCACUGCCUGUGUGACCACUACAAGCGGACGUGACGAGCGACGCAGGGCCACCCACGACCGCUAGCAAUACGAGGUAAAGCGGCCAGAAAGCAUACCAUAGGAUGCGUCCUGAGGGCAUUCACAUAAACAUUCUUCGAAUUGUUCACAUUCGGCGGGAUGUUCUUAGCCUUGUCUCCAGGUGAAUAAUUGAAUCGGCACCGGCGAUCGGACCUAUUGCAGCCUUCGGUUGACUGGUGGCAUUCGAUGGUAUGCUUGAGGCCUUCCCAACCCGCUCCGUGUAAAAGAGGUAGAAGGAGGCUCAAAGAAUUAUCGAAGAGCAAGACGAAAGAAAAUAGCGACUUCCAGUCGGUGAUGGGAAAUCUCAAUGUUAUCGCAGAUUCAAAGGCGCAAAGAAUAUUGCAUUGAGGCUCGACUGAAAGGAGAGGCGAAUUUGAGAAGAAAGAACUAUAUCGGCUAAAUACUCAACUGCCUCAGACGUCACUGGGACAAGAGCCGGAGAUUCCGAAACCUCUCGCAGCUUCUUUGCUUCCUCUGGUCUCGAUAUUUGAACCGCCUCAAUAAACAAUAAAUAAGGGUCCAAAAAAUCAAGGUCAUCUUCAAACCCUUUUUUUUAUGCGCCUCAGUCCUAUCCAUUAGAACGUCGGCCCUCACCCUUUUUCUUCUUAGUGCGCGCUUGAGCUUUAGUCUUCUGAGUUCUCAAAUUCUUUGACCCUCUGUCUCAGUAUUCGGCAGAGAUGCUGAUGUUAACAAGAAAUGCAGGCUGAAUGUUGUAUGGAAGGAUGAUCAUUUCGGCUUCUUGUAGCCAUUGAUGCUGUCUAAUGCUUGGAGAGACAUUGUUUAAUGUGACUUUGGACAAGGUUACUGAAGAUAGAACUAUCUGGCCUCAGAGGUCAGUUUUCAGUUGCUAAGACAGUGAAGCUCUUUCAUCUUCCUGGUAAUACUGUCCCUUGGUUCAAGCUUCUUUGGGGUAAGAAGCACAUCCCUAGUCAUGCUUUUCUUUCCUGGAUGGCUAUGAAUAAGAGUCUGAGAGUCAAAGCUAAACUGUACAAUCUUUAAGUGCUUUCGUCUGAUUUUGAGGUUUGGAAGCAAAGAAGCAGAGCGGAGUUUGAUUCCUUAUAUCAGAAAAAGAUAUAGGAAGACUCCCAGAAAGAAGAAAGCCUAGGAGAAAGCAAAGAAAGAGUAAGGAUCAGAAAGCUCCUAACCCCUAUUUAUUUAUGGAUGUGAAUUGAGCGAAGGCGCAAAGAAUAUUGCGAAGGUUCAAAGAAUAUUGACUUGAUAAACCUCUAUUUAGCUUCUUAUAUCUGAAGACGAUAAAGUCAGAUAAUCAGCCUCCGGCUGGGUCGGAUCGUCCAUACCUAGUUGAGUAUCUUGUCCGUCAUAACGAAGUCACUCUUUGAAAAAGGGUCGGGCUUUGUUGGAGUUGACUCGGUGAGUACACUUUCAUCUUUACGAGAAGAAGCGCGAACAACAACUAUAUUAUUCAGCAGAGACCUGAUUUACCCGAUGAGUGGAACGGCUCGACAAAAGUCUUAGGACUCGGGACGACGCGCCUCCUUCCUGCUAGAACUCAUAGGUCUACGGGGUUCUUUCGGUAGCGAGAAUAGUGGUCCCAAACGGAAUAGAAGUACUUUUGAUUCACUGAAUCGGAAUCUUUGAAAGAAGAAAGGGGGACGGAGGAUCAAUGAAAUUUGAUGAUGAUGAGUAAGCUCUUGCUUUUCUUGCUCCUCUUUCUGAAGUUGCGAGAGGUUCAAAGAUCCUUAUCAAUGAUUGGAGUGGCUGUUCCGGUUGCAGACGUUGCUGUUGGAGUAGAAGCUGUAGCCCUUUCGGUGAGGUGCGAAUGCUCGACCUCGACCCAUUGGCAUUAGUUGAGGAUGCACCAUCCCUGAUUAUUUUUUAGGAGAAAGCCUCUUUCGUCGGGUUCAAGGGAAAAGACUAAGAAUGAGGUCCCCUCCCCCCAGUUGAGGAACGAGGGCAAAAGCGAAGCCUAUGAAGUGAGUAUGAGCUCGCUCGACCCCCACGUAGCGGGAAUAGCACCAUCUUCUCUCUUUCAUGAGUAGUUCACUGCACUCAUUAGUAGCUGGACCAAGAGGUUAUUCUCUCUAUGAUCUCCUGGACUGGAAUAGCGCUCUCCCCAUAGCAAGAGGGAGCUCGACGUAGUCGGUCUUUCGGCAGUCACAAUAAUUAAGAGAAGCAGCUGCUCGGGAGAGGGAGGUAUCAGAUGCACGAAGAGAGGAUUGGUCGAAUCGACUGUAAGAAGAGGCAUCUGUUCUUGUGGCUGUAGCAGUUGCAGAAGUUGAAUCGUCUGUGGCUGUUCUUGUUUAAGAAAUAGCUGCAGCUAUUCCCACCAAGGCCUGACGAUAGGCUGAUUUCAGGAUUUCCUAUCCAUCCUCAAAUUCUUUGAGCCUUUGUUACAAGAAAAUACUCUUUAGUGACUCAAGAAUGACCCUGUCUUAUGGCACCUCUCAUCUGGAGCCUUUGUUUUUGAAACAAGUCAAAUUCUCUAAUGGAUAGGCCUGAAUUCAUGAAUAUUGAAUUGAACCUACUAAAAUCAAAGGAAUAAAGAAAGAGCUCAAAAGGAGUCAAAAUGAGAAGUCCGAAACCUCAUCACCUACUCCCGGAGGCAAGGUGAAAUUCAAUAUGACGAAGUCUUAUAGUUGGGUCUCAUCCCCCCAUAAUCAAGUAGCGUCCACUAAAAAGAAGCGGAGCGCGGAAGGACGAGGCGCAAUGAAAUAUGCCUUGAAUGAAUCUACCCUUUUUAGACUCGACUACUCCGCUACGUGGGCUUACUAGUAAUGCUGAAGUUUCCUCCUUUUCUAGCUUUCUUUCUAAUGCCCUUCUUUAUGGUCAAUGGUCACUUCCCCGAGGCGCGGAUCCCACUACACGGGAAUAUAUUAUGAUAUAAUGAACUAUCUUCUUUCUAAUAGCUAGUUUCAACAGCCACCGGGGAGGAGACAAGAACUCAAUCUACUGAAACAAGGGUUUCAACCACAGCGAGAGCAGACCUCAAAAAAAUAAGGAAGAAAAAGAUAAAGGCGCGAAGCGAAGCCUAUGAAGUCAUAAGGGCAAGGGCUUUCCGUGAACUUUCUUAUGAUGGGAAAUCCUUGUUUUCAUUUGCGAGACACAUUUCAUUCGUAGAAAUACCACUUCCUACUUCCUCAUCCCGACAAUAAAUAAAGCACUACGCGGGACAAAGUAGAUUCCCAAACUUAAAAGGAAAGACUAAAAUCAAAGCUCCAGAUGAGUUGAAUUGAGGUGCAAUGAAAUAUGCCUUUCUGCAGUGUGCGAAUUCGCUCUUUCGGCUGAUAACCUUUCGAUCCAGAAAGCACUACGCGGAAGUUCCCCACUACGCGGCGUGAAGUGACUGCCCACUUUUUGAAAAGAAAUAAAGAGCGCAGAACAAGGUUCAGUUAAGCUUGAUAAAUCAGUCCUUCGCCUAAGAAUAAGGUGAAAAGAAUAUUGAACUCAUGAAAUCAAUAUCCCUGUCUUAUGGGGCCUUUGUAGCUUAAUAAUGGGGAUCUGGUUCAAUUAUAAGGCUCAAAGAAGAUUGAGAAAGAAUAUUGCAAAAUCAAGGCGGCAAAGAAAAGGUGAAUAGGGAUUCGUACGAUUAGACUUGACUGAGAAUGGAAUUGCUUUAGCUAUCUUUUUUUUUCCGUCUUUCAAGGUGGAAGCUAAAUCAGAAUAGUUUCUAGUUGAAGGCAAGCAAGCUAGGGUUGGUUCGUAUUGACAAAGAGCUGGACUUCUAAACUUUCAAUGGGUACUGGAGUACUUUCUUUGUCAAUCGAUGCUUAAUACUAUCUUUACGCAAAUAAAGGCCGAAGAAUGAGGCUAAGUCUUCUAUUUAGUGGUCUCGCAAUAUUCUUUGCACCUUGCUGAUCUCAUUUCAAAAAUGCUUCGCCUGCCUCUUCUUUGAUUCCGUGCACGAGUAAGUACCCGUAAAUCGUAAAGAAAGAGGGGGGUAGUUACCUGCUCUUUCAUCGAGAUUGGCGAAUUACGGUAGAAGAUAGAAGAGGUUCGAGGAUCAAAGUAUUUGAGCUUUGCUAUUACUUUCAUGCUCCUCUUAGAAGGAAGAUAAGCACGAUAAGCUGGCCUAUAUCAUUGCUUAAUUCAUGCUUUCUUCGUACUUCCGGAAAGAAAUCUCACUCAUUUCAUUCUAUCACAUAAUGAGAACUCUAGAAAAGAAAUUGCUUACUUCAUGCUUUCUUCGUAUUUAUUUAAGGACCCAAUCCAUCUUUUGUCUAUGACGAUCGGUACGAAAGGAAGGCAUGCUCGCAGGGGAUUCUUAUUACUAAUAGAUGAUAAGAUAAUACGAGAAUGAAAGAGGUCGAGCGCCUCACCUCUGAGUCUGAUUGUUGGAAGUAUGAUGACUCCCACUGGUCGUCUUUCAACUCAUUAAAUCCCCCUAUCUUUUAUGGCGGUCUUACCGGAAUAUCUACUUUAUAGAAUUCCUAUGAGACUAAGAAAACAAACUGAGACCUCGUAGUCUUCCUGUUCCCGGUCGAUCCUAUGAUCGAUCUCAUACAAAGAUCUUCUAUGAUUCGACUAAAAAGACUCUUUCUUCUUAGUUUGAGCUUGAGGCGCGUCCAACCCACUACGCGGUAAGCUUUUCCUCUUUUCCUCUCACUUCAAGACUCAAGACCUUACCCGCACCGAGUCAAUCCGAUCGCUACCUUUCCAGGUCGUAUUCUAGUAAUUAAUUUCAUUAAUAACUCAGAGCGGCGAUCUAAAUACUUCUUCAGCAAGAACUUUCGAAGAAGGUAGAGGAACUGAAAUGGAUUCAGCUUCCGCAGGCAGCAUCCCUUUCAACGACGACUCCCCGAGAGACUCGCUUCAAACUUCCGAUUUAGAAAGAAGGUAUCUCAGUCUCUUACCGCGUAGUGGGCUGAUCGUGAGAGAUGGAAUCUUCAACCUCUUAUGGAAAUGUGUCCAGCGGAAGUAUUUACGUAAGAAAUUGAGAACCAGGCGAGAGGAGAGGGGUGAGGAUCGAGCGCAUUCCCUAUCGAUCAGCAUCCUCAACUCUACUUCAAGAGUAGAAAGGUUUCGGAAUUCAGAGGCAAGAGCAUUCCUUCCUCUUUCUUUAGUCAAGUCAUUUCAUUCCUUUUCUCACUAGGUCUAUAGAAAUAGUUCAUGGCCAGGACUAGGUCUCGUCAUAUUCUUUUCUCAAGAGAUGAGAAGAAAGUUCUCCUAAUAGAAUAUGUUUGAAUAUCUCAACUAGAAAGUCUCGGACUAACUCUUCCCAUAGCGUAGCCUACGGAGCGGGGAAAAGGAAGAUUUUCAACAGUCAAGAGAUCAAUCAGAAGGGAGCGGGAAGAAUGGAUAUUGUCUUCGAUCUUGCGAUAAAAUGAGUCAGACCAUAUGCGAUCUCGUCUCAAACAGAGAAUUAGUAAUCUGAGUCGCACGGGGAAUAGGUUGGAUAGUCCGGAGGACGGGAAGACAGAAAGAAAAGAGAGGCUCCGGAGGUUCAAAGAAUAUUGACAAAGAAUAUUUCAUGAAUUGAGGUGCGGUAGUCCGUCCGAAGGACUAUGAAAUCCAUUAGUUUUCGUUUGCACUCCUUUCUUCUUUUCUUAGAUAUUCUGGGAUUGAACUCCGUCUGAAAUCUAGCAGAUUCAUUUUUAGCUUCUUUCAUUCUCGUUAAUGAGCACUUGAACCUGUCUUUCUCAGGCGCAAAAAAUAUUGCGAGAAGAGCAAAGAAGAGAAUGGCGAUCAGAAUUUGAGUCCUUUCAUACUUUCGUUGAGGAGGAGGAGUUUUCUUCUUGUAUCAUAAUAGGAUAUUUUAGUAGAAUAAGAAGAAGAAGAAGAUAAGACUACGUAGCGUAGUGGGCUUUUCUUAUGGCGGAGCGGAGGAUUCCGACUAUCCACUGAAGAAAGUAGGAAAGCCUAAGGAACCUAAAAAGGGCUAAUAGGGGAAGGAAGAAAGCCUAUCCCUCCAGAAUCUUUGAGGACCGAAGGACUUCUUUAUAUCCCUAUUUAUUUAUUUAUGGGACUCCCAGAAAGGUUUAGUUCCAUAAAUCAGUCGGCUAAUAUAUAGGAUGAAAGUAGAUAGAAAGGAAAAGAAAAAAGUCGUCACUCUUAAGGAGUGCAAGAAGGAAUCUUUGAACCUUUUAUCCUGAUCUCUCUCAUUCUACAACUCAGUCGAGCCACUAUUCAACCUUCUUUUCGAUGGGACAUCAUGUCCUCUUAUCUUAAUCCCAUAAAUCAUUUAAGGCGAUACGGAAACAAGAAAUCCAGAAACUUAAUCCGGUAGAGUCAAUUCGAGACUAAGACGAGUUGGGGUUUCGACCAUAGGCUUUCCUUCCAAACCUACUAUACUAAACCUACCCCCGGACUCAAGGCGCGAAGUGAAGCGGCUGCCCACUUUUUAGAAAUAAAGAGCUGAGAUAAUUCUUUUCACUCAUUGAGGUCGGCUAAAUUCAAUGGAUAAAGAAGUCCUUUGCUUCAUUCUAUAUGUCCUUAUCAAUGAGACCAUUAAUCAGUCCGAAGGACUAUCCAAAGAAAAGAAUAUCCCUGUCUUAUGGGGCCUCCGUAGCUUAAUAUGGAGCGCUCCGGACGAGUCUUAACUAAUAUUCCCAAUCAAAGAAUUAUCGAAAGAAUGAUCGACGAGUCUUAUUCCACUAAAAUAGUAGUCCUUCGGAGCAGUCUUAUACUAAUCUCCUAAAAUCAAAGCUCCAGAUGAGUUUCAUUCCACUAAAAGACGAAAGAAGGUAUCUCAGUUACCAAAGAGAAAGAGCUUCCACAAACCACUUCCACAUAAACUUCUGCUAAGUCUACUUCUGUUAUUGAUUCAACUUAGCCUUUAAUCAGAUUAGGACCUAGCUAGCCAACCUUAUUCCUUCCUCUUCCUUACUUUGUUCUCGCUUGCUUCGGCAGGCACACACUAUCUCUGGAUACUGGAUAAGAGAUCCUUUGGUCAAGCUGCAAGAGAAAGACUUCUUCUCCGAUCGAUCAGCUACCCGAUUCCUCCUUCCCCGAUGAUAAGGUUAGCAGGCCCGAUCCUCUCCUAUUGAAAAAGAAAGCAGAAAUCUUUCAGUCUAGAGGAUUUAUCCGUAGCCCGGAGGAUUUAUCCGUAGCCCGGAGGAUUUAUCCGUAGGACCAUCUGUAAUUAACGCGAAGUAGUCUGCAGUCCGGAGUCCGCAGGAUUUAUCCGGAGGACUAUCCAUAUGGAAGUAGGACCAUCCAUAUGGAAGGAAGUAGUCCGCGAGUCCGCAGUCCGCAGGAUUUAUCCGUAGGACUAUCCAUUUUCAGUCGGACUAUCCAUAUGGAAGGGAGCGAAAUCUAGCUAUGAGGACUCUUUGAGCUCUUCUUUGAGUCAGUGGCUCUGCCACUUGCAGAAGGAGCAGCGAAGUCCGCGGUUUCAGAGGUUUAUGUAGCAGUUCUUCUUUAAUAAGAUGCUUACUUUCUUUCGGGUAGAAAGGUUCACUCGUGAACGGUACACCUCUUAUAUGAUGCCUGGGGACUUUGUCCCUUCUUCUACGGAUUUCUCUUAUAUGAUCUUAUUCAUCUCCGUAUCGUUCAUAUAUUCAUUCUAUAAAAUCCCUAGCUGCCACAGAUGGUCGAACUUGCCUCUUAAGUGGCGUGGGUCGAUCCUCUUGUUGACUUUUUACCUAGGAGUGGGGGGGAAGAAGUUCGAGAAUAAUUUAUCUUCUUUCCUUGUCCCAGUUCUUCUUUCCACUUCUACUUAAGUCACCACGACUGAUACAGAUGCAAGAACAUCAGGGCGAGCAGGGAAGAGGCGGAGGGAGUUUGCACUCUUUUCAUGCGGGUUUGAGUGAGACUGAUGCGCCCUAGGUCAAGCCAUUGCUUCGUCUUGUUCAUCACAUUCAUUAUGUUCACAAUUCCGGAAUCAAAGUAGAAAUACGAGAAAGCGCUCCAGCGGACUCUGAUUCAUUGGGAAUUCUAUCUUCCCGCCUCAAUGAACAAGGUGAAAAGAAUAUUAAAUGAAUCAUUGAGUUGAGGCGGUGGAACCUAGGAGUGGGACCGGGAACAUGAUAGGCUUGAAUCUAAGAAGUGAAUAUAGUAUUGAAAGAGGCCCACGGAGCGGUGUCCGACUAUCCUACUAUCGAAGCCUUGAAGCAUGAGUCUUGAGGUUUUCAAAGUCUACUCAGAGGACGAGGUUGAAGUUUCAUAGGGAAAGGUUUCAUAACAAGCAGUUGUUUUCCGUAUCGAAUGCUCUUUCAUUCCUUAUUCGAAAGAAGGCAAAGAAAGUGGAAACUAAAUCCUUGGAUUCUUUCCCGCUUGAACCAUGAAAGGUUAGGCCUUAGUUACGAUCUCAUUCAAUGCCCUAGCAUACUCAAAGGUUCGGGGGCGUAGUGGAUGGAGCUAGAAGACUACUACUUGGACGAGGGAUUUCCUUUCUCUUAUUGUAAUACUCCUAACCACCCCUUUUUGAAUGGGCAGGCCCCUCUGGUCGAGUUUACCCUUUUUAUUCAGGCCUAUCUGCCUCCGUUCAUGAAGGACAAAAUCGGACUGAGCCCUUGUUCAUUGAGGCGUAUAAGCCCACGUAGCGGUGCCAUAAGACAGGUCUGAAGGCGUCACAGGUCCGGAGGACCCGUCUGUCCGAAGGACGAGAUAUUUAUAAUGUUGAGAGAAAGAUUAGACUUUGUCAGGACCCUUAUUUCCAUUAUUUUUCACUUUCAAUAUUCUUGAGAAUAUUCAUUCAUCCGACAGAGCAAAGUUCAUCCAGAUCCCCAUAUGAAUUAGGCGAAUGACUGAUUUUCAAAGUCAGAGUUAUCCCUCAAAUUCUUUGAGCCUUUGCACUCAAAUUCUCUAAUGGAUAGUCCUUCAGACCGCUAGGAGUAAAGAAUAUUGUGUGGAACUGAACUAAUAGGGAAAAGCAUUUCCUAUUGAUUUGUCCCCUGGACUGGACCUAUUCUGAUUCUGAAUUAUCCGUCGCUACGUUGUUCCCAAGGACUAGCAAAAUCGAAAUAGCGAAAUUCUUGGGUCAUCUCAAUGGGUUCAGAAACCACACGUUUCUCUGGAUCAUCACAGCGUACUUCCACAUAUCCACUCAGAGGAAGGUCUUUUUGUAAUGGAUGACCCUCGAAACCAUAAUAUGUUGAUAUACGGCGUAGAUCCGGAUGAUUGAUGGAAGAAACACCAAACAUAUCCCAAACUUCUCGCUCCCACCGGCCGGCUGAUGGAAAUAGACUGACUACCGGAGAGAUUCGUGUUACUUCGUCUGCACUGGUUUGUACACGAAUGCGUGAGUUAUACCGAGUACUCAGUAAAUUAUAGGCCACUUCAAAUCUGAGUUUUCUAUAUAUAUUUAUAUUGAUGUUAAUAUGUUACCUUGUAAUUGGAAUGGUGAUUUGAAUAAUCUAAUAGGAUUAUGUGUUUGGAUCAAAAUAUGUUGCAAGAGAAAUAGCUAAAUGUGUGGAUUUAGUGACAAAGAGGGUAUUCAUGUGUUUAUUUUAGUUUUCUCAGUGAGGACUCGAUUUUUAGAAGAAACGACCACUGUUCGAAUCAUUCAAAACUUUGUUCCGAACAAAAAUUUUGGACUUUGUCAUUGUCCUCUUCACCGAAUGUGACAAACUUGAAGACAACGAUGAAACAUUGAAAGAUUACUUGGAUCGAAAAUGUCUUGUGGGGUUGAAAGAUACCAUAGCCGCUAGCAAGAACUGUUGCUUGGUUUUCAAUAACAAAACCGAUAAUGAAACAAAGAAGAUUGAAUAAGUGGAUAAACUUAUAAAGAUGGUGCAUGAAGUUGUACAACAAAAUGAAGGAAAAGCAUACACUCAUGGCUUGUUUUCUAAUGUCAAGUUUGAGACCAACUUGCAAGAUGAUGUGAAAACCAAGCUUGAACACACAAUUACAGUUCAAAACACAAGCAAAAUUUAAAGCAUAACAAGGAGCACAAGAAGUUCAACAACAAUCUAUGGAUCAAAUUCGAGUCCUCAAAGACCAUCUAUGCAUCAAGACUUGAAAGGUCACUGUCACUACCAAUGCUUCCACAAAUUAUUCGUCAUGGUCGCUGCAUGAGAAAAGGUUGCAUUAUUGUAUGACUUUACUGUGCAUGCAUUCAAUAAAUAUGUACAAGUAAUUAGUAUAAUGAAUAUAUACUAAAUAAAAAUAUGAAAAAACUGUGAAAAAAAACUUAUUUGAUUAACUGCUAUAAAAUUAAUAUUUGAAAAUUGGCAUGUGUUCUCGAAACUAAUAAAAGCAAGUUUGGAAAUGCCUUUAUUUUGUCUUUGUUGAGUGUAGUGUAAAUUGGGAAAUAUAGAAUGCUUAAUUAUGUUGUUAAUUAAUAAGAAAAUUAUUUUAGAAGUUUUGAUGAAUGUCCAACUACAUGUGGAAAGAAUUAUAAAGGAUUGAAAAAUGAUUCUAUAAUCUAGCCCAAACAAGAGGUGGGUUAUUAUAGCUCACUUCACUUCUAUUUAGUUUGGGACCCAAAUAGCCUCUUAAAAUUAGGUUAACUCCAUAACUAAUAAGGGUCUUUAACUCAUAUAGUCUAAAUUGCUAUAUGAUAUUACAUGAAUGAUCCAAAUUACUAAUAAAUUUCAUAAAAGUCCUAAAUGGACUAGUAUAUUACAUAAAUGUAGGCUCAAAUUACUUUAAUACCAAUUUAUAUUAUUUAAUUGAUUUAUAACAAAUAUCUAAAUGAAAAAAACCGUGGGAUAUAGUUUUGGAAAGAAGUGGGGUCCAAAUUAAUUUAAUAUCAACUUCUAUUAUUUAAUUUAAUUGAUUUAUAACAAAUAUCUAAAUGGAAAAAAUGGUGGAACACCGUUUUGGAAAUAAGUGGGGUCCAAAAUAAUUUAAUACAAAUUUUUAUUAUUUAAUUGAUUUAUAACAAAUAUCUAAAUGGAAAAAAUAAAGAGAUACAGUUUUGGAAAGAAGUGGAAAACUUUUCAUGCUUUCCUUCCACGAAAAUGGUUGUCUACUCCUUUCAACGUGGAUUACGAUUUUUACUUCAAAAUUUUAGAGAGUUCGGAGGUGAAGAAGAAGACAGUCGACGACCGACAAAUACAAAACUUCUCGAACAUAAUCUAGUUAAAAACUUUGAAGUUAGUAUUGUAUAUAUUCAACACAUAUGAAACAUUAGAUAUAUUAUGUAUAUUUUAGACAUUCAAUUAAAUAGUCAAUCAAAUGAAAAUGUAGUUUUGAAUGUGAUACAUUUUAGGGUUUAUUGAGAUUUCGGCGGUGAAGAAGAAAACUUUUGAUGGCCAAAAAAUACAAAACUUAUCCGACAGAAUCUAACUAGAAAAUUUGUGCUUAAUAUUAUAUAUAUUCAAAACAAAUGAUUAGAAACAUUUAGUAUAUUAGGUAUAUUUUAAAUAUUCGAUUAAAUAGACAAACAAAUGAAAAUAUAUGAAACAUUUGGUAUAUUAGGUAUAUUUUAAAUAUUUGAUUAAAUAGACAAACAAAUGAAAAAUUAGUUUUGAAUGUGAUACAUUCUAGAGUUUAUUAAGAAUUCAACGUUGAAAAAGAACGGUCAUCCUAUCAAAAAAAUAAUAGAACUAUAUAUAUAAUAUGAGGUAUAUAUAUAUAAAACAUAGAACAUAACUAUUAUAGAUUACGGAUAUAUUAAAGUAUAAUGUAAUCAAAUACAUUUAUAAAGGAAAAAUAUGUAUGUAUGAUCAUGUCGUUUACUACCGUUUUAGUAAUAUUUAUUCUACAAACACAAAUUCUGUAGGAAUUAUGUAUAAGGUAUUAUUGUAUAUAAUAUGAGGUAUAUAUAUACUAAAUAACAUGUAUGAAUUAAGUGUACAUUUUAUUAGUGAAAGGUUCUUAUAUCAAUUUGUUUAUGAUUUUUAUUUAAAUAUUCAUAUAUUAUGUAGUAAGUAAUACGUUAUGUUUGAAAUAAUAUUGAUUAUGUAUUAAAGUUGCCAUUAGACAGUUUUUUAACAAAAUAUACCUAUUAUAUUAAUAUAGAAAAUGGGAGGAAAUCGUGCAACAUUAAAAUAGGAAACUUCUUUACCAUUUUCUCACUUUCCAUAUUCAACGAAAAGCUUGCCAUUUCGACAGUCAAUGACAUAUACAACAUAUUAUAUAAUGCGAUAAUAUUAUAAAACUAGUAUAAUCAUAAAUAAGAUGUGAUAUAUAUUUAAGGGAAAUAUUAAAAAACUGAUAAAUUCAUAAUAGAAUAACGUUAAAAUAAGGAGAAUAUUGUUAAUAUAAUAUAUAUACGCAUAUGAUAUACUCAUAAUGAACUAAUUUUAAAUGGGUAAAAUAACAAAUGACAUAUUUAUGUUAUUCUUCAUAUAAAACAUCAACUAAAAUAAUAAAGUAUUAUAUCUCACGGUUAAUAUAUAAAACUAUUAUAAAUGUAAACAAGAUGUGAUAUAUAUAUAUAAUAAAUCACAUAUACAACCUAUUAUAUCAUGCGAUAAUAUUUAAAACUAGUAUAAUCAUAAAUAGUAUGUGAUAUAUGUUUAAAGGGAAUAUUAAAAAACUGGUAAAAUCAAAAUAGAAUAACAUUAAAAUAAGAGGAAUAUUGUUUAUAUAUACUAUAUCUCAUAUAUAUACUCAGAAUGAACUAAUUUUAAAUGGGCAAAAUAACAAAUGACUGUGGAUUUUAUCUUAUCUUUAGGUGAUGGACAAUUGUAUAUGACGGCGAUUUGUUAAGAUUCUGCAGCUUACGGUUAUGAUAAAUUUGAAUACAAAUUUAUAAAACAAUGUAAUAAGAAGUUCAAAUGAUGGAGAAGAAUAGCAAAAAACAGUUGUCGGCGAUGGAGAAGAUAAUGUAAUGGCUGCCAGAGAGAGUGAACAAUUAGGUUAAGUUAUAUUUUUAGAAAGAAUAAUUAAAUAGUUUAUUACAAAAUAAAGUAAAAUUACAAUUAUUAUAAUAUAUUCUGAUUUAUAAUUAAUUUAAAAGAUACUUGAAAUUUAUUAACAUAUUAAGGUCUUUUGUCUAAAAGUUUCAACUAAUAAUAAUGAUAGUUGUAAAGCCCCAAAGGUAAAAAAAAAAAAUGUAUAUUUUACAUUUUCUUUUUAUAUAUUUUUAUAUAUAUAUUUUAUUUUAUUAAUUUAAAUAAAAAGAAAUGAAAAAGAAAAUCCUUAUUUAUAUAUUUUUUCUUUUCUUUUCUUUUUUUUUCUCUCUUCUUCUUCCUCCGUGCGCCGCGACCCCCACCCGUCCUCUUCUCCUUCCCGUUCGCAUCAAUCGCCGCCCCAUCCGUUCUCUUCUCUUUCGUUCGCAGCAGCCGUCGGCCGCCGCGUCUCCCCUACUGAAGCCGAGCGCCGCGACCAUUCCUUUCUCCUCUUCUCUUCAGUUCGCAAAGCAGCUGUACGCGUCCAAAUCUGUCGUCGUCCAGAUCUGCACCGCAAGACCUUCCGUCGUUGCGACCGUUGCUCUUUCUCCGCUGCCCAGCCGUCUCAGCCGGUUCUGUCUCCGUCGAAGCCACGGUUCUGCAACCGUCUCCGCCGGUUCUGUCUUCGUCGAAGCUAAGGCCCCCGCGUGAACCAGUAACCGCUACGCUCUCCGCUCACAACCGCCGCUCCACUUGCUAUCGACGUCGGUCGACUAGUUGCUGUAACCGUUCAGAUUUGCUGUAACCGUUCAGAUUCGCGGUCUGUUCGCGACGGUCUCCAUCCGUGAAGCCCAGCCGCCACGUUCCCUUUGGCCGACCGCUGACCGACCCACACUUAGGAUUUUGCUGCAAGUUCGACAGUCGUGCGUUGAGGUGUUGGGAGUAACGUUAGGCUCCCUUGCAUUCACAACCAGUUUGUGAGUUGUUGAGGGUUCAGUUCGCCAAUAUAUCGGUGAGUUGGAACUUACGUUGAGGAAAGUAAGUGAGAUAUGUAUCGUGAAAGUAAUUGAAUUUUGUGUUGUUGUGCUUAGGAUUGUUUCGAGGACGUUAGUUGAUUAAGGAGCUUCCCCAACUUUGAGGUAAGGGAUUUUCUACUGGACUCAAUUGUGAUUGUGAACUGUGAUUGUGAACUGCAUGUGUGUUGAAUGUAUACUGUGGGCUAACUGAAAAUAUAUAUGAAUGUAUAUGAAUUGAAGUAGACUUGACGUCAAAUGUAUAUCGUGAUUGUCAUGGAAUCUAUAUAUAAAUGUGUGUGUGUGGACAGGACGGAGAUUGUAGAUUGUGUUUGUAUGAGAUGCAGAUGUGAAUCUUGUGAUUUUCGUUUAGAUUGGGUGUAUGAUUACGCUAAAGUAUGACUGUGUGCUGGUGAACUGAGGGGUGCAUUGACUGUAUAGUGGAUUGACUGUAUAGUGGAUUGACUGAUGUAUUAGCAUAUUAUUGACAGACAUAUGACUGUAGUAAAAUAAGUUGACUGUUAGGAUGUUGAAAGAAAGAACUUUGUGACUUGAAGUAACUGAAAGAUGGGUUGAAUGGAAUGAGGGGAUAAAUUGUUAGAUUGUAUUGGGAUGUUUACCUUGUAGGUGUCCCACGGGAUCACCAAUUUAUUGUGCACCUUCAAGAGCAUUUGACUGAUAUGUGUUUCUGCAGAACACUAGACUGAUAUGUACGUCCCUCGGGGCGUUAGACUGAUAUGUACGUCCCUCGGGGCGUUAAACUGAGAUCUGUAUCCUACGGGAUCACAAGACUGCGAAUGUACAGAGUGUCCCAAUAGAACUUUAACAAUUUACUUUCCCCUGACGAGACCAGUAGAGGGUCUCUUACUGAGUAUUGUUAUACUCACCCUUCUUAUGUUUAAUUUUCAGGCAAAGGUAAUAAAGGCGGCAAACCGGCGAAGGGCAGGAAGGAAGCGUGAUUGACAUAGGAAAUGUGUCAUUUUGCUUCCGCUUAUGGUUUCUUUUGAGGUUUAAGAUGUACUAAAACUUAGUUUACAAACUUUUAUUUGUAAAUAGUGUUAUUUUUAAGUUUUCUUGAACAUUUGAAAAUCAGGCCUGACAUAAAUUGUUUUUAAAUUGACUUACGUUUCAUUUUGUAUCAACCAAAGUCUUUUGUUAAAAAUUAACGACCUCGACUUACCUAGAAAAGUUGGGUCGUUACAAUAGUUCUCAUUAACCAAUUGACAAAUGAAUGAUAUUGUCAAAUGAUCGAUAUUGUCAAAUGAUCGAUAUGUGCAAGUGCACAUUUCAAUUAUAUUAUAGUAAAACGUUCUUAGAGAUCGAGCUAGUAUCCUUUUAAGAGGGAUCAAAUUAACAAAUUAAUUUAUUGAUUUUAGGAUUAGGAUGUGUUUUAAGGAUAAAAACAAUGAUUAGAAACUAAUUAACUACAAGUUGUUGACUUUUGAAAAGAAUAUCUUUCCAUUCAAACAUAAUUGUUCCUAAUCUCUUCCAACUAAGUUAAAUAUUAUGGUAUUAAACAGAUACAUAGUUUGGUUGGUAGUUUCUCUUCAAAAUUAUUAUUUUGAGAAAACAAAUACAAUUUCUUUUUAUGUAAUCCAAUAUCCUCAAGUAUAUUUAUAAAUAUGGAAAUAUUAUUUCCAUAUUAGAAGAGAUACUAAAAGAUCUUAUUACAACAUCAUUAGAGUCCCAUCAUUUUCUCUAAAUAUCUCUUUUGUGGUGAAAGAUUUGGAAUUGCACAUCAAUCAUUUUGGAGUGGGUAAUUGAUCACCCUAUUUUUCAAAAAAUAAGAAAGAUAAAAAAUAGUUAUUUUUUUAAAGAUAUAUUUGAAAGUGUUGAGUUUAUGGAAGGUAUUAGUACUUAUACAACCACGAAACAUUUGAUUUUUGUUAUCUAAAUUAUUUUAAUAAAAAUGUUUUUUUUUUUUUUUGAAGUUUAUGCUUAUUAAAAAUGCUUAUUUAAAAAAUGUUAAUGAAAUUUUAAAAAAUAAAAUCUAAUUAAACACUUCUGAGAUAGAGAGGUUUCCCUUGACUACCCGAGCGUAGAUAAACACUUCUGAGAUUUGGUUGGUAAUCCUAAGUUCGUGUGCAGUUGAUUAUUUUUUAAAUUUUGUAUAGUUGAAUAAUAUUUGAAUUUUAAAUUUUCAUCUAUGUGAUAUUUACUCAUUUCAAACUUUUUGAAUAUGCAUGUUUAUUUAUUAUUCUGUCGUCUCUCUAUUGUAUUUUAAAAUAUAGAAUAUGUGUAUUUAUAUUAUUUGAAAUUGAAAAUUUAACUUUUACUCUUAGAGUAGGCUUUAACUCUUUGUUUGUCCGUGUUGUAGGUGAGCGAGAAGGAAAAGUUCCAUUGUUUGAUUGAAUUGGAAUUGUUUCCUGCAUGGGGUGUCAUACAUAAUUCCACUUAUUACUAGUUGAAGGUCUUCUUUGCCUCUGUCUUCUUCCCCAUCUCCCCAAGUUGUUCUAACCUUUUUAUAUCUACCUAUUACAUGUCAAAAGGUUCGCUCUUCAAUGUUUUGAAACAAGUUCAUUAUGAAAAUCUCUCACAAGCAAACGUAUGUGCAUUAUGAAUAAUUUCAUCUCAAAAAAAUUGUUUGAGAGGUUUCAAAAGUGUAUCGAAACUAAUAAUUUUAAUGAAUAAAAAAAUAAUUCUUCGUUAGAUUCUUACAUUUUAUUUCAACGAACAAAAUUUAGGAAAAUUUUUAAAAAUAGCAAAUUUUACAAAAAUAUUUACAAUUUAUAACAAAUUUAUAGUCAUUGAUAUGAUAUAACGAUAGUUACUAAUAAAUAUUUUAAUUUAUUUUGUUAUUUUUAAAAAUGCUCAUAAAAUAUUAUAGUGAGGGAACAAUGAUGAAUCACAUAGUUCUUGUGGUGAUGUCGCUUUUUCUCCCUCUUUACAUUCUAAAAUCUCAAAUACAAAUCAUAAAACAAGUAGAUAUACAUUCAAUUAGCAUGAUUUUGAUUCUAAUAAAUUAGAAAGACAAAAAUAACUAACUAAUUAUGGAAAAGUAAUAUUUUAACAUGAAUUAUUGAUUUUUAAUUAGAGGUAAUUUUAAAAUAAAUAAAAUAAAAGAAAAUAUUACAAAUCAAAUCUAAACUAACUUUGAUUUUACUUCUUUAAUUGCAAUAUAACAUAGAUACAUUGGCUAUGAAGUGCAAUUUCUUAUAUUAUAAUAUUUAAAAGAUUUAAAUUUAAAAAUAAAAAUAAGUAAUCUCAAGUCCAAUAUUGGACCCGUGGGCUUAGCCCAUCAAUUUAAAAAUUCAAAAUGCACACUCAACCGUCACAUUUUCCUAGGAUCAUCCUAUUUAAUGCCCUUCUACUUGUCAACUCCAUCGAAAUCCUUCAUUUCUUGUGGCACCGUCUAAAAUUUGCUUCGAUUGAAGAAAUUUUGACGCCCAUGACAGCGUUGAAAUUUCUUCAAUGCAAACAAAUUUUUUAUCUUCCUUUCAUCGAGGAUUUUCAUACCAUGUGAAGGAGAGAUCAGUUCCAUCCGUUCCAAGUCGUUCGUGAGUCAUCUUCUUUCCUGUGUAGUUUUCAUCUCUUGAUUUUGGAUUGCUUGUUCAAGAUUUAUUUUCGAAUUUUGGAUUGUUUGCUAUUCGGAUAGGCAGAAGGUUUGCACGAUGAUAGAUCUGGAGUACCUGAAUCGUUUAUUGAUUCUGUAGUUUAAUCUUAUGAUUUUGGUGAUUUCGAAGCGUACAAUAUAAUCGUACUGUGUUAUGAAGUAAAUAAGAUUUUGUAGGGUUUUUGAAAGUUAAUUUAGAUAUUUCCUGCAUUUUAGUCUUGAUAGAUCUGGGGUACCUGAACCGUUCAGGUUUGCAUGCUGUGAUUGUGUUGUUCUUUUUUGAUUUUGGAGAGAGUCCUUGGGUAAUUUUGAGGAUUGUUCUUUUUUUAGUUUUUUUUUGCAUGCAUUCAAACACACGCAUGGUUUUUAAACUGGGGUUCUUGAAUAUUUGUUGGUUUUCUCGAAUAUUUGCCGGUUUUUUUUUCUCAGAAGAAUUGAUCUUAUAUUUGUGUAUCUCUCUGUGCAACUUUAAUAUAAAGUUAUUAAGGAAGAAGAGAAAGGAGGAAGAAGGGAGAGAGAAAAGGUAGAAACGACCUAAUAGUAGGCAUGAGUAUUAAGAUGCAGCAGAGCCACCACUUAGUGGCGCUAAGGUUUAAUGAGCAAAUUGACAGUAGAAAAGGGUCCACAUCCAUACCUAAGUUACUAUUGCUCUGGGUUCUGUUGGUGGCAUUCAUUAGUAUGUUAAACUACAAAGAAAUGGAUGGGUGGGUGUUAACAAAGUUAGAAGAAAGUAAGUUCUGGGAAGUAUGUGUGACCAGACGACAAAGAUGUUUCUUAGUGUCAGUGUCAAACUAUGUCCAGGCUUUGGCCAUUCUCAUUUCCAUUUUCCAGUACUUCAAAAUCGUAUCAGCAAUUGAUCAGGAAAAUGUGUUUCGAUUUCUGUCUUUUAUUAGUCUCGGUUAGUUAGGCUUAAGAGUAAGGGAUAUAAUUCAUUUUUCUUGUUUCAGCUAGAAAUUACGUCGAUGUCUUGAUUUUUAGUUUUUUUAGGGCUGUUUGGUUGUUUUUUUAGGGGUGUUUGGUUAGUUAGGCCUAAGAAGUAAGGGCUAGUGAAAGAGAAGCAUUUGAUUGUCCUACAAGUAUCUGAAUCGCCAAUGAAAGCAGAGGUUAUUUCCUCUGAAUUUCCACGAAUUGUUCAGGUUUGGAUUCUGUGAUUGUGUUGUUCUGUUGUUCUCUUCUUUAUUUUGGAGUGUUCUAGGAAAUUUUGAGGUUUGUUAUUUUUUAGUUUUUUUGGCUUGCCUUUAAUCACGCUCGUUUGGGAAUAGACAGGCUUCAGAGAAUGAAUCUCCUUUUUAAGGGUUCGUUGGGGAGCGAAGUGACCAUAUGGCAUCCCUUUCUGCACCUGCUCAGUCUCUCUCUUGCCUUUUUCAUACUACAUAUUUUUGUUUCUCAAUUUAGUGUCAGUGUCAACCAUGUCUAUGCUUUGGCCAUUCUCAUUUCCACUUUCCACUACUCUAAAAAUGUAUCUGCAAUUGAUCAGGUAAAAGUGUUUCAAUUUUCUGUCUUUGGUUCAUCUCCGUUAGUUAGUCUUAAGAGUAAGGGAGAUAAUUCGUUUUUCUUGUUUCCCUCCAUGUAUUGAUUUUUAGUUUUUUAGGGAUGCUUGGUUGGUUUGAAUGCACGAAACAUUUGCUGGUACACGAUUCAAACAGCUUGCCCAGUCAUGUUUUUCUAUUUUUUUUUAAUAUUUUGGAAUUUUGCAUGUGUGAUUUCUGUAUAUAUUAUUCUUGCCCUUUUCCUUUAUCAUCAUUUAUUUUGAUUUUGGAGAGGUCUCUUGGUUAUUUGUUAUUUGCACAUAUACAAGGGUUGAAAAUUUCAAUCCCACCUCUCUUUUAUAUUACAUUCAUUUAGUUUUGGCUGUUAUCUAAUUGAACUAUUUGAUCAUCAAAUAAUUGUGUUACCUUUUCUUCUAGAUGUUUAGAUUCAUUUUUCUCACUCUUUUAGUUUUCUUAAUGUGUGACAGUCUUUGUUUUUUAUUGAACUAUUGUGUGGCAGUCUUUAUUUAUUGGUUAUCUUUAGUUUCACUAUUGUUCUUUUUUUAAUGUUUUCUUAGUUUUUAAUAAGUGUGACAAAAUAUGAAUUAAUUUUUUUCUUUGAACAAAUGUGGAAUUUAUUUUCUUUUAAUGUAGUUGUGUCCCCAAUAAAUUUAUUUUGGCGAUUUAACAAUCCAUCAUGUUCUUUUUCAUUUUUCUGUUGUAUUUUCUUCGGUUCUUUGUUGUGGUAUGUCUAUUUUUGAGACAUUCUUAAUUUAGUUUUAUUUCUUUUAGCUUCCUGCAUCAUUUUGUAUUAUGGAUUGUUAUGAAAUUUUGAGAUUAUGCUUUAUUUUGUUUUUUGGUCCUUUGCUGUGAUGUCUUUUGAUUAUUUAUUUUGAGUGAACAGUUCAUGUAAGAUUUUCUGCAUGAGAAUAAAUUGAUUAUUUAAUUUGGUCAAAGAAGUUCAAAAUUUACAUGUGAAAUUUACACUCAGUGGCUGUAAGGUUUAAUGAGAAAAUUGGAAGUAGAAAAGAGUCCACAUUAAUUCAUUCAGCCAAGAGGGCUUGGCAUCCUAAGUUUGCUCUGGGUUCUGUUGGUGGCAUUCAUCAAUAUGUUAAUCUAUUAGGGAAUGUAUGGUUAUAACAAAGUAAGAAGAAUGGAAGUUCUGGGGGAGUAUUUGUGACAAGAGGGCAAGGAUGCUUCUGCAUCAAUUUAGUGUUAGUCAAUCAUGUCUAUGCUUUGGCCCUUCUCAUUCCACUUUCCACUACUACAAAAAUGUAUCUGCAAUUGAUCAUGUAAAAGUGUUUCAAUUUUCUGUCUUAGGUUCAUCUCAGUUAGUUAGUCUUAAGAGUAAGGGAGAUAAUUCAUUUUUCUUGUUUCAGCUAGAUGUUACCCUCCAUGUCCUGAUUUUUAAUUUGGCUUCCUAAGUGUGCUCUAGGUUCUGUUGGUGGCAUUCAUCAGUAUGUUAAUCUACAGGUGAAUCUAUAGUUAUAACAUAGUAAGAAGAAUGGAAGUUCUUGGGGAGUCUUUAUGUGUGACGGUCUUUGUUUUUCAUUGAACUAUUGUGUGGCAGUCUUUAUUUAUUGGUUAUCUUUAGUUUCACUAUUGUUCUUUCUUUAAUGUUUUUCUUAGUUUUUAAUAAGUGUGACAAAAUAUGAAAUUAUCUUUUUCUUUGAACAAAUGUGGAAUUUAUUUUUCUUUUAAUGUAGUUGUGUCCCCAAUAAAUUUAUUUUGGCGAUUUAACAAUCCAUAAUGUUGUUUUUCAUUUUUCUGCUGUAUUUUCUUUGGUUCGUUGUUGUGCGAUGUCUAUUUUUGAGACAUUUUUAAUUUAGUUUUAUUUCUUUUAGCUUCCUGCAUCAUAUUGUAUUAUGGAUUUUUUCGAAAAUUUGAGUUUGAUCUUGUUUUCCUGGUCCACUGCUGUGCAGUUUUUUUUUAUGAGAUAUUUUUAUUUAGAUUUAUUAUCUUUUAGCUUGUUUUGCAUUUUGCAUUAUAGAUUAUUUUUUAAAAUUUUGAGGUUGUUUUUUUUCUUUGAUCUUUUGUUGCGGUGACAAUUUUAAUUUAGAUUUAUUAUCUUUUAGCUUGCUUGCAUUAUGGAUUGUUAUGAAAUUUUGAGAUGAUGCUUUAUUUUGUUUUUUGGUCCUUUGCUGUGAUGUCUCUCUAUAAGACAUUUUUAAUUUAGGUUUAAUAACUUUUAGCUAGCUUGCAUUGUGGAUUGUUAUGAAAUUUUGAGUUUCUGCUUUCUUUUGAGUUUUGGUGAUGCCUUUUUACGAGACAUUUUUUAAUUUAGGUUAAUUUUUUAGGUUGCUUGCAUUUAUGGAUUGUUCUGAAAUUUUGACUUUCUGCUUUUGUUUUUUAUGUCAUUUGUUGUGUGAUAUUCUCUUUAUAAGAUAGAGAUAUUUUUAAUUUAGGUUUACUAUUUUUUAGCCUGCUUGCAUUUGGUAUCAUAUAUGAAUUGUUCUGAAUUUUGAGUUUCUACUUUUUCAGUCAUUUUUUUAGGGCUGUUUGGUUGUUUUUUUAGGGGUGUUUUGGUUAGUUAGGCUUAAGAAGCAAGGGCUAGUGAAAGAGAAGCAUUUGAUUGUCCUACAAGUAAUAAGCUUCUCCUCAAUCAUUCAACCAUUUUUUUAGUAAAGAAAGAGGCUUCUCCUCUGGCAACCAAAGUCCGUCCCUCGUUAACAGGUAAGUCUACCUCAUUACUUUUUAUGUCCUUUUAAUUAAGAUAUUUGGGUCAAUAUAUAUCAAAAUAAAUAAGAUCCAUCUUUGGUAAUUUUUAAAAAAAUUAAAUCUAUAAAUACUCAUUUCAUCUCUAAAAUUAUGUGAUUUGUACUUUCUAAAAUUCCCUCGAUGGUACUAAUACACUCUUAUAUUUGUAUUGUAAUUAUCAUGUCCUUUUUCUAUGGUUUUUUAAAGUUAAUUUAGAUCCUUAUUCGCUCUAGGUAUAAGUUGAAUGGAAGAGUUUUUUAGCCUUGAUGGAUCUUGAGUACCUGAAUCGCCGAUGAAACAGAGGUUAUUUUCUCGAAAAUUCCACGAAUUGUUCAGGUUUGGAUUCUGUAAUUCUGUUGUUCUUUUUUGAUUUUGGAGAGUGUCCUGGGUAAUUUUGAGGAUAUUAUUUUUUUGUUUUUUCGGCUUGCAUUUAAUCACGUGCGUUGGGGAAUAGACAGGCUUCGGAGAAUGAAUCACCUUUUUAAGGUUUCGCUGGGGAGCGAAUUGGCCAUAAGGCAUCCCUUUCUGUUCAGUCUCUCUCUUGCCUUUUUCAUACUAUAUGGUUGUUUGAUCUGGGGUUAUUGAAUGAUUGUUGCUUUUAUUUUCAUAAGAAGUGAUCUUAUAUUUUUGUCUCUCUGUGCAACUUUAAUUUGAGGUUAUUAAGGAAGGAGAUAAAGGAGGAAGAAGGGACGGAGAAAAGGAAGAAAUGACUGGAUUGUUGGGAUGGGUAUGAAGAUGCAGUAGAGCCACCACCUAGGUAAGGUCUAAUGGGCAAAUUGAAAGUAAAAAAGAGUGCACAUCCAUUCAAGCUAAGAGAGCUUGGGUUCCUAAAUUACUACUGCUCUAGGUUCUGUUGGUGGCAUUGAUUGGUAUUGUUAAUCUACAAGGGAAUUGAUGGUGUUAACAAAGUUAGAAGAAAGGAAGUUUUGGGCGUAUGUGUGACCGGAGCACAAAGAUGCUUCUGCAUCAAUUUACUGUCAGUGUUAAACUAUGUCCAUGCUUUGGUUUAUUUUCUAUUUUCUACUUUCCACUCCUCUCGAAAUGUAUCAGCAAUUGUUCAUGUAAAUGUGUUUCGAUUUCUGUUUGAUACUUCUCAGUUAGUUAGGCUUAAAAGUAUGAGAGAUAAUUCAUUUCUCGUCUCAUAUAGAAAUUAUCUUGAUGUCUUGAUUUUUAGGGUUUUUUUCAGCGGUUUUUGGUUUUUUUUUUUUUUUUUUUGGAUUUUGGCUAGUUAGGCUUAGAGGUGCAAGGACUUGUGAAAGAGAAGCAUUUGAUUGACCAACGAGUAAUUAGUUUCUCCUCAAGCAUCCCACCACUUUUCUAUUAAAGAAAUACAGGUACGUCUACGCUAUUACUUUUCAUGUCCUUUUACUUAAGAUAUUUAUAUAAAUAUAUAUAAAAAUAAAUAAGAUCCAUCUUUGGUAAUUUUUUUUAAAAUCAAAUCUGUGAAUAUUCAUUUCAUCUCUAAAGUUUUGCGUUUUGUUACUUUUUAAAAUUCCCUCCAUGUUACUAUUACACUCCUAUAUUUGUGUUGUAAUUAUGAUGUCCUUUUUCUAUGGUCUGUUAAAGUUAAUUUAAAUCCUUUUUUGCUCUUGGUUUAUGUUGAAGAAAUGGAAGAGUUUUUUAGCCUUAAUAGAUCUGGAGUACCUUAAUCGCUCUUGCAUUUUGUGAUUCUGUUCUUUUUCUAUUUUGAAGAGUGUCCUGAGUAAUUUUUAGGAUUUUUAUUUUAUAGUUUUUGUCGCUUGCAUUUAAACACGAACUUGGUUGUUGAACUGGGAUUCUUGAAUAAUUGUUGGUUUUGUUUUCUGAAGAAGUGAUCUUAUAUUUGUGUAUCUCUAUGUGCAACUUUAAUAUGGGGUUAUUAAGGAUGGAGAUAAAGGAGGAAGAAUGGAGAGAGAAAAGGCAGAAAUGACUUAAUUGUUGGGAUGAGUAUGACCCCAUGUCUAGUAGUUCCCAAGUAUGAUAUAGGAAGGCAGAGAGUCAAGGCCUUGUCUGACUCUAAUAGAAGUAAGUAGCUAACGCAACGCAAUAUUCUUUGCACCUUCAGUCUGUGAAUCUGAGGAGCAAGAGUUUGGCCAGAGGAGCUAGUCUCGUAACUGCGGGCGCAGUUCUAGUUCUUUACAAGACAGAUGGGAACUGUAGCUAACAAGUGUGCCCUGAGUGGAAUCCUACCACUACUCUUUCUACUAUAUUGGCAGGACGGGUGCCAAGUUAUUAGUAGCUAGGCAGCUAAGCCAGUAGUAGUUCAGUUCAGGUGCUGUUCUCAAACCUAGUUGACUACGUUGUAGCGUAGCGGUACGGGACAGAAAAAGAAUUGAUAGCGGUACACUGAACACAAAGAAAUUUGAUAGACAUAUGUUGAGAGUUCGACAAGUAGCACUGAAUCUACUAUCAGUAGUGAUUUAUAGAAGUUGACUCGCUUAAACGAAGAGAGUGAACAAAGCAUAGCGGAGUGAAGAGAGAAAUGGUUUCAUUAGAUAGCUCUCUCGAUGUCCUUGUUAUCUUUCCUAGGUAGAUUGUGACUUAUUCAUUCUUUCUCGCUGACUCUAGUUUCCCCGCCGUGGAUCCUUUCUCGGUUAGGGCUGUAAUUUAGAAUUCAGAAACGUAUCUGUCUUAUUAUCUUUGAGUCAAAGCAAUGUUACAUAUUUAUAUAGAGAAUAAACUAAACCCUAGAGACUAUGUAAAAUUACAAUAAAGGACAUAUGUGUAUAUAUAUAUAUAUAUCAUAACACUCCCCCUCAAGCUGGAGCAAAUAUGUCGAUCAUGCCCAGCUUGUUGCACAGAUAGCUUAUCCUUGUUCCAUUUAAAGCUUUAGUUAGAAUAUCUCCCAAUUGUUCUCCGGUCUUCACAUAUCCUGUGGACACCAACCCAUCUUGGAUUUUCUCACGAAUGAAGUGACAAUCCACCUCAAUAUGUUUAGUUCGUUCAUGAAAUACUGGAUUAGAUGCAAUAUGAAGUGCAGCUUGAUUAUCACACCAUAAUUUAGCUGGCACGGUAAUACUGAAGCCUAUCUCAGAUAAUAGUUGGUGAAUCCAUACUAUUUCACACACAGAUUGUGCCAUAGCUCUAUAUUCUGACUCAGCACUCGAACGAGAAACAACAUUUUGUUUCUUACUCUUCCAUGAAACUAAGUUUCCACCUACAAAAACACAAUAUCCAGAAGUCGAUCUCCUAUCCUCACGAGACCCCGCCCAAUCAGCAUCAGAAAAACAUUCAACUCUCGUAUGUCCAUGAUCUUUGUAUAGGAUCCCACGUCCAGGAGCAGCUUUUAGAUAACACAAAAUCUGCUCUACUGCAGCCCAAUGAUCCACUGUAGGGGAAGACAUGAAUUGACUUACAACACUUACAGAAUAUGCAAUGUCUGGUCGAGUCACUGUUAAGUAGUUCAACUUCCCAACUAAUCUCCUAUAUCUCUCAGGAUCUUUACAUAAUUCUCCUUCUUUAACAAGUUGCUGAUUUGGCAUCAUUGGAGUGCCACUUGGUUUGGCGCCUAAUUUUCCUGUUUCAGACAACAAAUCAAGUACAUAUUUUCGUUGAGACAAAUAAAUACCUUUCUUGCUUCUCAUCACUUCAAUGCCCAAAAAAUAUUUCAAUUGGCCCAAAUCUUUUGUAUAAAACUGACCCUGAAGGAAAGUUUUGAGAGACGAAAUACCCAAUGCAUCAUUUCCAGUAAUAACAAUAUCAUCAACAUAUACAACUAGUAGAACUAUACCCUUCUCAGAUCGGCGAUAGAAAACUGAAUGAUCAGAUGUACUCUUCUUCAUACCAAAGCAUACAAGGGCUGACUAAACUUACCAAACCACGCACGAGGACUCUGUUUCAAACCAUACAGAGAUUUUCGAAGGCGACAUACUUUAUCACUCUCCCCCUGAGCAACAAACCCUGGUGGUUGUUCCAUAUAAACUUCCUCUUGAAGAUCACCGUGAAGAAAAGCAUUCUUAAUGUCAAGUUGAUGCAACGACCAUUUAUUGGUAGCAGCCAUGGAAAGAAAUAGGCGAAUGGAAGUUAACUUGGCAACCGGAGAGAAUGUAUCUGAAUAAUCAGUGCCAUAGAUUUGAGCAUAACCUUUGGCAACAAGGCGAGCCUUUAAACGAGCCACUGUUCCAUCAGGAUUCAUCUUGACAGCAAACACCCAUUUACAACCAAUGGCCUUCUUUCCUGCAGGACGAGAUACCAAAUCCCAAGUAUCAUUAUCAUCUAAAGCAGUCAUCUCCUCAAUCAUUGCAUUUUGCCAGCGAGGAUGAGACAAAGCUUCAUGAACAGAGUUAGGAAUAGAUGUGGACUCAAGAGACGUAAUAAACGCAUAUGUGGAGGGAGAUAACUGGUGAUAGGAAAUAAAGGAAGAAACGGGGUAAGUACACUUGCGUUUACCUUUGCGAAGAGCAAUGGGAAGAUCAUCACUUGGCGCUGGAUCACAUGAUGAAGGAAGCAUUGAUGGAGGACAUGAGUCUGAAGGUUGUGGUGGAGGUCGUCGGGAGUAGACUUGAGAAAUCAACGGGCGGGAAGGAGGCACAUCAGUAGACAAGGAUGGUGUGGGAGAGGUAACCUCAUAUAUAAAAAGAUUGUCAUCCUCCCCCUGACACAAACUCGAUGGUGAUGAAGUAAAGGGUGUAUCUUCAAAAAAGACAACAUCAGGCGAAACCAGAUACCUUUUAAGGGUAGGACAAUAACAACGAUAACCCUUUUGAACACGUGAAUAACCCAAGAAGAUACACUUCAAGGAUUUGGGAUCUAACUUAGUAUGAUGAGGACGAACGUCACGAACAAAACAGACACAACCAAAUAUCUUAGGAGCAAUAGGAAACAAAUGCUUGGUAGGAAAAAGAACACGAUAGGGAAUCUCACCAUUAAGAACAGAGGAAGACAUUCUAUUAAUCAAAAAACAAGCUGUAGAGACAGCAUCAACCCAAAAGAUUUUUUAAACAUGCAUUUGAAACGAUAAAGCACGGGUAGUUUCAAGUAAAUGCCUAUUUUUCCGCUCUGCAACACCAUUUUGAGAUGGAGUGUCAGCACAGGAAGAUUGAUGAAUAAUGCCAUUUUCACACAAGUAAGAGCCAAGAGAAUGAGAAAAAUAUUCACCCGCAUUAUCAGUACGCAAAGUUUUGAUAGAGACAUUAAAUUGGUUUUUUAUUUCAGUAUGAAAGGCACAAAAAUGAGAUAAUAACUCAGAACGAUUUUUCAUUAAAUAUAACCAAGUUAGACGAGAAUGAUCGUCAACAAAAGUAACAAAAUAACGAAAGCCUGUUUGAGAUACAACUGGACACGGACCCCAAAUAUCAGAAUGAACUAACUCAAAUGGAGCAAUUGCUCGUUUAUCGACUCGAGGACUCGAACUAAGACGAUGAAAUUUCGCAAAUUGACACGAAUCACAAUUUAAAGAGGACAAAGACCUAAAUUCUGGAUAAAGUUUCUUCAACACGAACAAAGAUGGAUGACCUAAACGACAAUGGACUUCAAAAGGAGAGGGAACGACAGGACACGCCACAGCUUGCGAUACUUGAUGAUCAAAGAGAUAAAGGCCUCCUGACUCAUAUCCUCUACCAAUAAUCUUCUUCGUCACACGAUCCUGAAACAAGCAAUAACCAGAAAAGAACAUGACAACACAAUUUAGGUAGGUCAUGAGUAAGUUGACUAGUAGAAAUUAAAUUAAAGGAUAAGUUAGGCAAAUGUAACACAGAAGAGAGUGAAAAUGAUGGGGUAAGGUGAAUAGUGCCAGAGCCAAGAACAGAAGAUGUGGAGCCAUCGGCCAAUGUAACCGAUGGAAAAGGGGCAGGGGACAACGGUCUAGAAAAUAGGUGAGAAUUACCUGUCAUAUGAGCUGUGGCACCAGAGUCUAUGACCCAUUUGGUAGAUGAUGUAAGAAGACACUUUAUAUUACCUGGGGCAACAGUGGAUGCAAUCAGAGUAGAGGAAGAUGACGCUUGUAAUGACUCUUGGUAAUUCUGAAACUUAGCAAACUCAUCUGCCGAAAUAGUAACUGACGCCUCUGGUAUAUCACAUGUGGAGGCUAUCUGAGCAUGUUGAGAUCGUUGACUAUUCUUAUAUAGCAAUUUCUGACAAUCACGUUUCAUAUGGCCUGGCUUACGACAGUAGUUACAAACAAUCUCUACAGACUCUGGUUUUCGAUGAUCAGUACUAUUCCUCUGAGGUGCCCGAGGGUUAUUGUUAUUGUUCUUGCUAAAGAGAGCACUACUGGGUUGAGGAAUAGACACACUAGUCGGAGAGCUUUCAAUGCGAAGGACUCGAGUGAAGGCAUCAUCUAAUGAUGGAAUCUUGGAGUCAGAGAGAAUCUGUGUCUUUGCCAUUCCAAAUUCAGGUAAGAGUCCAUUCAGGAAAAUCAUAACAGCCAUCUUCUCUCGUUGAACUUGUUGAACUUUAACAUCAGGACUAAAAGGUAACAACAAGCCAAGCUCGACAAUGAUCUUCUUAAGCCGCAUAAAGUAGCUGGUGACAGACUCAGCUUUCUGUUCCGCACGAGAAAAUUGCAUACAAACUUCAAACAUUCUAUGCACUUGCUCUUUACCUGAGUAUAGAAAAUCCAAAAAUUCCAAAAGUUCUUUAACAGACUCACAGUGAUCAACCAAUCCAAUUAUCUCACUCUCAAUUGAAUUCUUGAUCUGAAGAUAUAAACGGGCAUCAUCACGAAGCCAAUCCUUCUUCUGCUUUGCAUCUUUUGGGAGAUCGAGUUUCAAACCUUUAUACACAAAAUUGAAACUCAAAAUUCACUUCCUUCCUUCCGCAAGGCCGAUAUCUUUCAUAGCAAGCAAGGAUGAGUCCAUUAGGUUCUUCGAUUGAUUCGGAAAAGAAAUGAGAGACAAGAAAAGAUCUUUGAUGGAGAUGAAAAGGAAGAAUCUCAAAUAGACCAAGAUCCAAUUUCGGGUCAUUUCUUGGUGAACAUGAUCUGCCAUAAUCUCUUCGAUCCCUGAAUUUAUGUGCCAGAAUAAAGAGAGAUUUGGUAGGAAAGUGGAAGAGACCUUGUGGUAUAUAAUAAUGAGAGGGAGUGGGAAAGCUGCUGUAAUUCUUUGGAAAAGCCCGGUUCUUUUUGUCUUCGAGCUUGAAUUCCUCAAUCCACUCUUUCGUUCUUUCAUAUACCUCCCCACCAAUAGAUAGAGACAAAUAGGAAUAACCGAACCACGUCUACAAAAUGCCAGUACCAUGCAGCUGCUUCAAAGCCAAUGUGAUGCUCCUUGGUCGGAUGACCUAGAUAUUGGCGAAUACCACAUACGAUCAAGAAAAGAGUACCUAUAAUCACAUGAAAACCAUGAAAGCCAGUUGCUAAGAAAAAGGUAGAACCAUAAAUACUAUCCGAAAUAGUGAAGGGUGCUUGAUAAUAUUCCAUUCCUUGAAAGCCUGUGAAUACUAGAGCCAGUGAAACGGUAGCUACUAAAGCGUAAACAGCUCGUUUUUCCUUCCCCGCGAGUAUAGCAUGAUGAGCCCAAGUUACGGCUGCUCCGGAUGAAAGGUGAAUAGGGGUGUUAAGAAAAGGGAUUUCCCGAGGAUCUAAAACCCCAAUCCCUUUUGGGGGCCAAAUAUCUCUGAUCUCUACCGUAGGUGCCAAAGAAGAAUGAGAAGAAGCCCGAAAGAAGCAAAAAGGAACAUAACCUUCGAUACGAUAAAGAGAAUAAAACCAUAUCGAAGUCCUAUUUUUACGACUUUGGUAUGAUGUCCUUCCAACGUGGAUUCACGUAGAACAUCGCGCCACCAUACGAACAUGGUAUAUAGGAGAAAUAUGAGGCCCAAACUGAGAAGUCUUGCACCCCCUUGAAAUGAGUGCAUGUACAUCACACCUCCUACGGUGGUUGCCAAAUGAUAAGAAUGCCUCUGAGAUUCAAUCAUAAACCACUUUGCCUCGGUUGUAUGUAAACCCCCCCUUCACCCCCACCCGCUAAAGUGGUAAAGAAGGGCUCUUUGGGGUCUCAUUUUCUUUCUAUCUGACAGGACUCAAAAAUAGGAAGGGAUGGUUCUUUCAUUGCAUUGAUAGAAGUCUAACUAGAAAAAGAUCUCGUUGCUUUGACCGAGCCCUAGGCUUUCCUUGGAUAGAGCCCUCUAUAUUCCGACUGAUUUAUGGCGUAGAAGGCGGGAAUAGGAAUCACUCAUAUUGCAUUGAGCCUUAACAGUCCGGAGGACUAUCCCGCUCCGUGGGAUUCUUUGAGCCUCACAAUAUUCUUUGCACCUAUCCAUCCACGGCAAUAUUCUUUGCACCUUCGCUCCAAAUAAAGUAAUAGCCGCAACUCAAUUCAUUUCAGCCUUCGCCUAGAAAUUCACUUUGCGACCCACUCUGUAAGCCCACUACACGAGAAGAAAGAAUAUCCUUAGCUAUUUAUCUUUAUUAUCUCUUCUCUGAGAAUAUCCUCUUAUUCUACUAUUAGAAGAAUAUCCUACUUUCAGUUUCUAGUCAAAGAAAGGUCCAGGCGCAGGCGCAAAGAAUAUUGCGAGGUGCAGUCUAAUGGAUAGGACUGAGGGCUCGACUGAAAGGAGAGAAGGCGCAAUUCAAUAUGCGAGGUCCAUAUUCCGACUGAGGAACUGAAACUUCCGCGUAGUGCUUCCCUUGUUCAUUGAUAGUAAUCCUGAAGUUUCUUCUUGGCAUCAAAAUAGAUCAAUGAAAGAGGACUAAAAAUAAGACGAAAGUACUUAUGACGGCUUUCCUUCCCAACAAAUCUUCGUUCUUAGUUAUUUGAUUCCACUUUCAAACUUUCUGGGAGUUGUCUUCUCCUAGGCUUUCUUCUUUCUGGCAGUCUUCUGCCUUGCCGUAGGGAGUAGGUUCAGGAGAACCAUAACCAUAAAUCAGAGAGACGGAGGCAUCAAUCACGCAAUAUUCUUUUGCACCUCUUCCUUUAAGCUAUAUUUUUUUAGGCUCCGGAGGCUCAAAGACAGGGAUAUUGUUGAAUACUAUUAGUUCGAGUCGCAGAGAGCAAAGAAUUUUCUCUUAAUGGAACUUAGCGCGGGUUAAUAUGGAUAGGACUGAGGUCUUAAGACUCCUAACUAUUAAUGGAAAGGACCCACGGAGCGG
rnacentral:lncRNA from 1 species